rnacentral:rRNA from 1 species
GACGAACGCUGGCGGCGUGCUUAACACAUGCAAGUCGAACGAUGAAGAAGAGAAACGCGAACUUCGGUUCAAAUUUCACUUCGGAUUAGUGGCAGACGGGUGAGUAACGCGUGAGCAACCUACCUCUUACAAAGGGAUAGCCUCGGGAAACCGUGAUUAAUACCAUAUGACACAUUCAUAAGGCAUCUUAAGAAUGUUAAAGCUACGGCGGUAAGAGAUGGGCUCGCGUCCCAUUAGCUAGUUGGUGAGGUAACGGCCCACCAAGGCGACGAUGGGUAACCGGCCUGAGAGGGUGAACGGUCACAUUGGAACUGAGACACGGUCCAAACUCCUACGGGAGGCAGCAGUGGGGAAUAUUGCACAAUGGAGGGAACUAUGAUGCAGCGACGCCGCGUGAGCGAUGAAGGAAUUCGUUUCGUAAAGCUCUGUUCUAUGGGAAGAAAAGGACUGUACCAUAGGAGAAAGCCCCGGCUAAAUACGUG